UACAGAGGUGGCAAGCGUUGUUCGGAAUUACUGGGCGUAAAGGGCGCGUAUGCGGUUCGCCAAGUCCCGUGUGAAAGCCCACGGCUCAACCGGGGAACGGCGCGGGAAACUAGCAGGCUUGAGUUCGGGAGAGGGAAGCGGAAUUUCGGGUGUAGCGGUGAAAUGCGCAGAUAUCCGAAGGAAAACCGGUAGCGAAGGCGGCUUCCUGGACCGACACUGACGCUGAGGCGCGAAAGCUAGGGGAGCAAACGGG
rnacentral:rRNA from 1 species